rnacentral:rRNA from 1 species
AGUGAACGCUGGCGGUAGGCCUAACACAUGCAAGUCGAACGGCAGCACAGUAAGAGCUUGCUCUUACGGGUGGCGAGUGGCGGACGGGUGAGGAAUACAUCGGAAUCUACUUUUUCGUGGGGGAUAACGUAGGGAAACUUACGCUAAUACCGCAUACGACCUACGGGUGAAAGCAGGGGAUCUUCGGACCUUGCGCGAUUGAAUGAGCCGAUGUCGGAUUAGCUAGUUGGCGGGGUAAAGGCCCACCAAGGCGACGAUCCGUAGCUGGUCUGAGAGGAUGAUCAGCCACACUGGAACUGAGACACGGUCCAGACUCCUACGGGAGGCACCAGUGGGGAAUAUUGGACAAUGGGCGCAAGCCUGAUCCAGCCAUACCGCGUGGGUGAAGAAGGCCUUCGGGUUGUAAAGCCCUUUUGUUGGGAAAGAAAAGCAGCAGGUUAAUACCCCGCUGUUCUGACGGUACCCAAAGAAUAAGCACCGGCUAACUUCGUG